AACAGGAUUAGAUACCCUGGUAGUCCAUGCCGUAAACGUUGGGAACUAGAUGUGGGGACCAUUCCACGGUCUCCGUGUCGCAGCUAACGCAUUAAGUUCCCCGCCUGGGGAGUACGGCCGCAAGGCUAAAACUCAAAGGAAUUGACGGGGGCCCGCACAAGCGGCGGAGCAUGCGGAUUAAUUCGAUGCAACGCGAAGAACCUUACCAAGGCUUGACAUAUAGAGGAAACGGCUGGAAACAGUCGCCCCGCAAGGUCUCUAUACAGGUGGUGCAUGGUUGUCGUCAGCUCGUGUCGUGAGAUGUUGGGUUAAGUCCCGCAACGAGCGCAACCCUCGUCCUAUGUUGCCAGCACGUAAUGGUGGGAACUCAUGGGAUACUGCCGGGGUCAACUCGGAGGAAGGUGGGGAUGACGUCAAAUCAUCAUGCCCCUUAUGUCUUGGGCUUCACGCAUGCUACAAUGGCCGGUACAAAGGGCUGCAAUACCGCAAGGUGGAGCGAAUCCCAAAAAGCCGGUCUCAGUUCGGAUUGAGGUCUGCAACUCGACCUCAUGAAGUCGGAGUCGCUAGUAAUCGCAGAUCAGCAACGCUGCGGUGAAUACGUUCCCGGGCCUUGUACACACCGCCCGUCAAGUCAUGAAAGUCGGUAACACCCGAAGCCGGUGGCCUAACCCUCACGGGAAGGAGCUGUCGAAGGUGGGAUCGGUGAUUAGGACUAAGUCGUAACAAGGUAGCCGUACCGGAAGGUGCGGCUGGAUCACCUCCUUUCUAAGGA
rnacentral:rRNA from 1 species